rnacentral:rRNA from 1 species
AUGUCGUCCAGCGCCUCCGAGAUCGUGGCCGACACGACGCACGGGCGCCACCACCUGAAGAUCGACGGCUACUCGAUCACCAAGGCCACCCUGCCCACGGGGGAGUUCCUCAAGUCCCAGCCUUUCUCCGUCCAGUUCCGCUUUAAGGCGGAAAAGAACCAGGCGCUCUCCUUUCUCAAGAGCUGGGGCCGUAAGCCCGCGCCGCUGAAGCUCGGCAGGGUGGAGGCCGGCGAAGCUGGUGUCUGGGAGUGCCCGAAUUUCGUCAGGAGGAAGACCCUGGAGGAAUCGGACCAUCUCAAGGACGACUCGUUCACCAUCCGCUGCGAUAUCAUCGUCACGGCGGAAGAAGAGGAAUUCGCCAUGGCCCAGCAUCUGCUCGUGGCGGCGGACAAGUAUCGCAUGGAGAGGCUCAAGCUGAUCUGCGAGGACAAGCUGUGCAAGAACAUCGCGGCGGGCACGGCGGCGAGCAUCCUGGCGUUAGCUGAGGUGCACCACUGCCAUGAGCUCAAAGGUGCAUGCUUCCAUUUCCUCAGCUCUCCGAAGAACCUGACGGCAGCCAUGGCCGGCGACGACUUCGAGAAUCUGCGCUCAAGCUUCCCCUCUCUUGUCAAGGAGUUGAUUGCCACGUGCUCGAUCGAUGCCUCAGCUCAGUGA